rnacentral:rRNA from 1 species
CCGCCGCGGUAACACCAGCAGCCCAAGUGGUGACCACGAUUAUUGGGCCUAAAGCGCUCGUAGCCGGAUCAGCAAGUCCCUUGUGAAAUCGGGCCGCCUAACGGUUCGGCGUGCAAGGGAUACUGUUGGUCUUGAGGCCGGGAGAGGUCGGAGGUACUCCUGGGGUAGCGGUGAAAUGCUCUAAUCCUAGGGGGACCACCAGUGGCGAAGGCGUCCGACCAGAACGGACCUGACGGUGAGGGGCGAAGGCUAGGGGAGCGAACGGGAUUAGAUACCCCGGUAGUCCUAGCUGUAAAGCAUGCGGGCCAGGUGUCUAGCGCUCCUCGAGGGCGCUAGGUGCCGGAGGGAAGCCGUUAAGCCCGCCGCCUGGGAAGUAGGCCGCAAGGCUGAAACUUAAAGGAAUUGGCG